GGUGSACCUGCGGAAGGAACAUUG
rnacentral:rRNA from 1 species